rnacentral:rRNA from 1 species
UAACUUGAGAGUUUGAUCCUGGCUCAGAACGAACGCUGGCGGCAUGCCUAACACAUGCAAGUCGAACGGAUUGUAGCAAUACAGUCAGUGGCGAACGGGUGAAUAACGCGUGGGAACCUGCCUUGGAGUUCGGAAUAACCGCGGGAAACUGCGGCUAAUACCGGAUACGACCUGAGGGUGAAAGCAGCAAUGCGCUCCGAGAGGGGCCCGCGUCCGAUUAGCUAGUUGGUGGGGUAACGGCCUACCAAGGCGAUGAUCGGUAGCUGGUCUGAGAGGAUGAUCAGCCACACUGGAACUGAGACACGGUCCAGACUCCUACGGGAGGCAGCAGUGGGGAAUAUUGGACAAUGGGGGAAACCCUGAUCCAGCAAUGCCGCGUGGGUGAUGAAGGCCUUCGGGUUGUAAAGC